GAGCUGUAUUAAAGGAGAGAAAGUUAGCACUCCCCUUGAGAAGGAUGGAAGAGGUCCUAGUGGCCCAUACAACACAUAUAUGAUUAAGGCAUUGCCACCUACUUCGUGGUAUCUAACCAAGUUUUUUU